UAAGAGAUUGGGAAUAAUGAUUUUGGCAGUGAGCAUCAAAACAUCGCAGCUAAGUUUUGAUUUUAGCUCAGCCUCCAAACCCUUAAUCCCCAAAUCUCAUUGCUCCUCCCUCUCCCUCCUCCACUUCGUUAGCCUCUGCUCCUCUUCCUCAUCCUGUCAUCAUCCUCUCCUUCACCUCACCUACCCUUCCGUUCUCUGCUGUGGAAGAGGAGUUCUAGAUGCUCCAAUGGCCUCCUCAUAGGCCUUUGCCCAAAGGCAUCCGUGACUUCUCAAUCAACGCCGACGGCCGCUUCCAGUGUGGCCUCAAUGCCCCCUGCAUGGCCACCUUCGAAAGCGAGGUCCUCUACAAUGCCAGCAUCUUUGGCACCAUCUCCUCCAUGUCCUCCCUCCUGUUCUUCGAGAUCCGCCGUUUGUUUGCUUCAGGCUCCUGCGGCGCGAGCGGGAGCACGAACAAAAGACCACUCACCAUGAAGCUCCAGAAGGUGUAUAGGAGCUACCGAACCUGCCGUAGGUUAGCGGACUCCGUCGUCGUCGCUAAAGAGCUUCGGAAUGGAAGAGGUUGAUAAAGAGAAAGUACAAAGGAUAAUUUAUGAGAAGGGCAAAGGAUCAAUAUAUUUUGAGAAUGAGAAAAGAAAAGAGGCAUUCAUUAAAUAGAAAAUUGAAAGCUUGUAUGCGCAACGUGCAAAACUUACAGAGAAGGAUAUUUCACAUUUCCAAAUGGUUCAACCUAUGGAACUUGAGAAAGUCUUGUCAAAGGGUGCAUACAUGCUUCUUUAUGUUAGGUGCUUACCUCAUGAUCCAAGUUCAAUAAGGAGAGCGAUGGCUCAACUUGCACGCGCUAGGAAGAACAUGAUUGGUGCUGAGUACUGGCACCACCUUGCAAAAGUUUUUCAUCUGACCUUCACUAGUACAACCUUUACAAAUUCUGAGUUGUCCUAGCUUCAUUGUUUAUGCAAUCUCAUUAAGCAGCCUCUACUUUUUAAGCUAGUAGAUUCUGUCAGGUACUUUAAGUUGCUUAAGAAAUAUUUGUUUCAUUAAAUAUUAUGUAUCCAUGCCCACCAAAUAUGUUUGAUUAUAUAUUGGCUUGUUGUUUCACCUAACAUACACCAUCCAUAUUUCAUUUAAUUAAUCUGUAGAGAGUGGUUGCCAGCAAUCUAGUUAUGCCACUUGAUGAAAUUGAUAAGACGGGUUCUAAUGUCCAGGGGGAUCUAGCAUCCGCAUUAUUGGAAGUUCUUGAUCCAGAACAAAAUAAAACUUUCAAUGAUCAUUAUUUUAAUGUUCCUUUUGAUCUAUCAAAGGUAAUUUUUGUUGCAACUGCAAAUAGAAUUCAACCUAUUCCUCCUCCACUCUUAGAUCGAAUGGAAGUCAUUGAGCUUCUUGGCUAUACACCUGAAGAAAAAUGAAAGAUAGCUCUCAAGCAUCUUAUACCACGAGUCUUAGAGCAGCAUGGCAUAAGUUCUCAGUUCCUUCAAAUUCCUGAGGUAUAUUUUCUUCAAAUUUAGUUUUGUUAGAUUAGAAACAAACUUCUUCAUAUACUGAAAUUUUUAUUAAGGUAUCUAGUAUGAAAAUUUUAACAAUUUUAAGCAUAAAAAUAUUUUUGCUCACUAGAAAUCAAACUAUUCAAUAGUUCCUUUUUGAGUUUAGAUCUUCUUUAGUUGUAUAAUUCCUUUUUGCUCACUAGAAAUCAAACUAUUCAAGCUAUAGUUCCUUUUUGCUCACUAGA